rnacentral:rRNA from 1 species
UACGUAGGGUGCGAGCGUUGUCCGGAAUUACUGGGCGUAAAGCGCGCGCAGGCGGCCUUUUAAGUCUGACGGUGAAAUGCCGGGGCUCAACCCCGUGCCCGCCGGAGAUACUGGGAGGCUGGAGACGAGUAGAGGCAAGCGGAAUUCCGGGUGUAGCGGUGGAAUGCGUAGAGAUCCGGAAGAACACCGGAGGCGAAGGCGGCUUGCUGGGCUCGGUCUGACGCUGAGGCGCGAAAGCUAGGGGAGCAAACGGG